rnacentral:snoRNA from 1 species
ACUCCUGUUCUUGGCAGACCCUGGCCACCCUGUGCCUGGGUCUGUGAUGUCCGGAGGUAGAGCAGCGACUCUUUCACAGGC